CACGUUAAUUCAAAUUGGCCCGUACCCUAAACCGACACAGGUGGGAAGGUAGAGUAUACCCAGGGGCGCGAGAUAACUCUCUCUAAGGAACUCGGCAAAAUGGCCCCGUAACUUCGGGAGAAGGGGUGCCACCGAGAGGUGGUCGCAGUGAAGAGUCCCAGGCGACUGUUUACCAAAAACACAGGUCUCCGCUAAGUCGCAAGACGAUGUAUGGGGGCUGACGCCUGCCCAGUGCCGGAAGGUUAAGGAAGUUGGUCAGGGUGCAAUCCUGAAGCUAGCGACUGAAGCCCCGGUGAACGGCGGCCGUAACUAUAACGGUCCUAAGGUAGCGAAAUUCCUUGUCGGGUAAGUUCCGACCCGCACGAAAGGCGUAACGAUCUGGGAGCUGUCUCGGAGAGAGGCUCGGCGAAAUAGAAAUGUCUGUGAAGAUACGGACUACCUGCACCCGGACAGAAAGACCCUAUGAAGCUUUACUGUAGCUUGGUACUGGGUUCGGGCUUUGAUUGCGCAGGAUAGGUGGGAGACUAUGAGAUAGCUCUUGUGGGAGUUAUGGAGUCACUGGUGAGAUACCACUCUAUCAAGGCUAGAAUUCUAACUUUGACCCGUUAUCCGGGCAGAGAACAGUAUCAGGUGGGCAGUUUGACUGGGGCGGUCGCCUCCUAAAUGGUAACGGAGGCGCGCAAAGGUUCCCUCAGGCUGGUUGGAAAUCAGUCAUUGAGUGUAAAGGCAUAAGGGAGCUUGACUGCGAGACUGACAAGUCGAGCAGGUACGAAAGUAGGCCUUAGUGAUCCGACGGUUCCGCGUGGAAGGGCCGUCGCUCAACGGAUAAAAGUUACUCUAGGGAUAACAGGCUGAUCUCCCCCAAGAGUUCACAUCGACGGGGAGGUUUGGCACCUCGAUGUCGGCUCAUCGCAACCUGGGGCUGUAGUCGGUCCCAAGGGUUGGGCUGUUCGCCCAUUAAAGCGGUACGUGAGCUGGGUUCAGGACGUCGUGAGACAGUUCGGUCCAUAUCCGGUGCAGGCGUAGGAACAUUGAGAGGAGUCUUCCUUAGUACGAGAGGACCGGGAAGAACGCACCGCUGGUGUACCUGUUAUCGUGCCAACGGUAAACGCAGGGUAGCCAAGUGCGGAGAGGAUAACCGCUGAAAGCAUCUAAGUGGGAAGCCCACCUCAAGAUGAGUGUUCCCAUGGCAAAAGCCAGUAAGGUCACGGGUAGACCACCCGUUAAUAGGCGCUAGAUGGAAGUCCAGCAAUGGAUGUAGUCGAGGCGUACUAACAGACCGAGGGCUUGACC
rnacentral:rRNA from 1 species